GUAAGUUAUUAAGGGCACACGGUGGAUGCCUUGGCAUUAAGAGCCGAUGAAGGACGUGUGAAUCUGCGAUAAGCCUCGGGGAGCCGAUAACUGGGCUGUGAUCCGAGGAUUUCCGAAUGGGGAAACCUGGCUCAUCUUCAUGGUGAGUUACCGCCAGCUGAAUGUAUAGGCUGGUUGGGGGGAACGCGGGGAAGUGAAACAUCUCAGUACCCGCAGGAAGAGAAAAUAAAGUAAUGAUUCUGUGAGUAGUGGCGAGCGAAAGCGGAAGAGACUAAACCUGUGGUGUGUGAUAGCGGUUAGGCGUUGCAUCAUGGGGGUUGUGGGAGUCACAGUGGCAGUUCUAACUGGCUGCCGGCAUGAUGUUCAGGAUGGUAGGUGAACGACUUGGAAUGGUCGGCCGUAGAGGGUGAGAGUCCCGUAAUCAAAAUUGUUCUGUCCGUGGUGUGGCCACCCGAGUAGCACGGGGCUCGUGGAAUCUCGUGUGAAUCUGCCAGGACCACCUGGUAAGUCUAAAUACUUCUUAAUGACCGAUAGUGAAUCAGUACCGUGAGGGAAUGGUGAAAAGUACCCCGGGAGGGGAGUGAAAUAGUACCUGAAACCGUGUGCUUACAAGCCGUUGGAGCCUUUUGGGGUGACAGCGUGCCUUUUGAAGAAUGAGCCUGCGAGUUAGUGUUAUGUCGCGAGGUUAACCCGUGUGGGGUAUCCGUAGCGAAAGCGAGUCUGAAUAGGGCGUUUGAGUGGCAUGACCUAGACCCGAAGCGGAGUGAUCUAUCCAUGGCCAGGUUGAAGCGACGGUAAGACGUCGUGGAGGACCGAACCCACUUCAGUUGAAAAUGGAGGGGAUGAGCUGUGGAUAGGGGUGAAAGGCCAAUCAAACUCUGUGAUAGCUGGUUCUCCCCGAAAUGCAUUUAGGUGCAGCGUUACGUGUUUCUUGCCGGAGGUAGAGCUACUGGAUGGCCGAUGGGCCUUCACGGGUUACUGACGUCAGCUAAACUCCGAAUGCCGGUAAGUGAGAGCGUAGCAGUGAGACAGUGGGGGAUAAGCUUCAUUGUCGAGAGGGAAACAGCCCAGACCACCAACUAAGGCCCCUAAGCGUGUGCUAAGUGGGAAAGGAUGUGGAGUUGCUUAGACAACCAGGAGGUUGGCUUAGAAGCAGCCAUCCUUGAAAGAGUGCGUAACAGCUCACUGGUCAAGUGAUUCUGCGCCGAUAAUGUAGCGGGGCUCAAGUACACCGCCGAAGUUGUGGCAAUGACCUUUUUUGGUUGUUGGGUAGGGGAGCGUCGUGUAGCCGGUGAAGCUGCGGUGUAAACCAGUGGUGGAGGCUAUGCGAGUGAGAAUGCAGGCAUGAGUAGCGAAAGAUGAGUGAGAAACUCAUCCGCCGGAUGAUCAAGGGUUCCAGGGUCAAGUUAAUCUGCCCUGGGUUAGUCGGGGCCUAAGGCGAGGCCGACAGGCGUAGUCGAUGGAUAACGGGUUGAUAUUCCCGUACCGGUGAAAAACCGCCCAUACUGAUAUUGUGAUGCUAACCAUGCGAAGCAUGAUGUGCAGGCUUUUGUUUGUGUGUUGUGUGGGUUGUGGGACCCGAUCUUUGGAGGUAAACGUAUUAACAGGUGUGACGCAGGAAGGUAGCCAAGCCACGCGAUGGUUGUCGUGGUCUAAGCGUGUAGGGUUGUCGGUUGUUAAAUGCGCCGGCUGUGUGCCUGAGACGUGAUGGGACCCCGUUUUUGGGGGAUUUGGUGAUCCUAUGCUGCCGAGAAAAGCAUCGGCGUGAGGUUUUAGCCGCCCGUACCCUAAACCGACACAGGUGAUCAGGUAGAGAAUACUAAGGCGAUCGAGAGAAUCAUGGUUAAGGAACUCGGCAAAAUGCCCCCGUAACUUCGGGAGAAGGGGGACCUUGAGCGUGAUGGGCACUUGCUGCCUGGAGCGUGUAUGGGUCGCAGAGACCAGGGGGAAGCGACUGUUUAUCAAAAACACAGGUCCGUGCGAAGUCGUAAGACGAUGUAUACGGACUGACUCCUGCCCGGUGCUGGAAGGUUAAGAGGAUUGGUUAGCCCUUUUGGGCGAAGCUGAGAAUUUAAGCCCCAGUAAACGGCGGUGGUAACUAUAACCAUCCUAAGGUAGCGAAAUUCCUUGUCGGGUAAGUUCCGACCUGCACGAAUGGAGUAACGACUUCCCUACUGUCUCAACCAUGAACUCGGCGAAAUUGCAGUACGAGUAAAGAUGCUCGUUUCGCGCAGCAGGACGGAAAGACCCCGUGACCUUUACUAUAGUUUGGUAUUGGUGUUUGGUUUGGCUUGUGUAGGAUAGGUGGGAGACUGUGAAGCAUGGACGCUAGUUUGUGUGGAGUCGUUGUUGAAAUACCACUCUGGUCAAUCUGGAUGUCUAACUUCGGGCCAUGAUCUGGUUCAGGGACAGUGCCUGAUGGGUAGUUUAACUGGGGCGGUUGCCUCCUAAAGUGUAACGGAGGCGCCCAAAGGUUCCCUCAGCCUGGUUGGCAAUCAGGUGUUGAGUGUAAGUGCACAAGGGAGCUUGACUGUGAGACUGGCGACUCGAGCAGGG
rnacentral:rRNA from 1 species